AGGACAUUAUUGAGACUGGUAGAACAAUGAAAGCUCUGCUUUCAAAAAUAAAAGACAAGAAACCAAUGAUAGUAAAAGCCUGCUCCUUAAAACGACAUGUCAGAAUCCAGGAAACAGACCAGACUGUCUUCAAAGCGGCCGUGCAGGCACUCUGUGUGAAGGUUUGCCACACACUUAUGGAUAACAUGGCUGUAAGAUCUCUCUUCCCUUAUUCCAUUACAGCUUCCUUAGGCUGCACAGAGUAGUAGACUUAGAAACAUCAUAAACUAAGAGGGUUGGUCUUUUUUCCCUCCUUUGUUUUCAAAAGUACUUUCUUAAUUCUGAUAAACUCAGAAAGUUUUUCCUUUCUAAGUCUUUCUACUAAGACAAACCAGUUCUGCUGAAGACACAGUCAAUCUGUGCUAUUGCUCAGCAGCAGGAGGUGUAUGCAGUAA